UACGUAGGAGACGAGCGUUGUCCGGAGUUACUGGGCGUAAAGGGUGCGCAGGUGGCGGCGCGCGUGGGGGGUGAAAUCGCCCGGCUUAACUGGGCGGGGGCCUUCCAGACGGCGUGGCUUGAGCAGCGGAGGGGGACGUGGAAUUCCGGGUGGAGCGGUGAAAUGCGUAGAUAUCAAGAGGAACACCAGUGGCGAAGGCGAGUCCCUGGACAACACCUGACACUGAGGCACGAAAGCUAGGGGAGCAAACAGG
rnacentral:rRNA from 1 species